UUAGUUGAAGCUAAUUAAUAGCAUAUCACGGUUAAUGAUAAGUAAGUUUAUAACCAACUAA
rnacentral:tRNA from 1 species